rnacentral:sRNA from 1 species
UUGCUAUCUGCGAUAUGGAAGAUUCGAACCUGCCGCAGGUUCGGGUCGAACGCAGUGAGACAACGGAGCCGUUUAGGGCGACGGCCCGUAGGGCGAGCGAAGCGAGUCAUCCUGCACGACCCACCA